UCCUAGCUGUAAACGAUGGAUACUAGGUGUUGGGGGUAUUGACCCCCUCAGUGCCGCAGCUAACGCGUUAAGUAUCCCGCCUGGGGACUACGGUCGCAAGGCUAAAACUCAAAGGAAUUGACGGGGACCCGCACAAGCAGCGGAGCGUGUGGUUUAAUUCGAUGCUACGCGAAGAACCUUACCUGGGCUUGACAUGUCCGUGGUAGGAAGGCGAAAGCUGGACGACCCUUCGGGGAGCGGACACAGGUGCUGCAUGGCUGUCGUCAGCUCGUGCCGUGAGGUGUCGGGUUAAGUCCCUUAACGAGCGAAACCCUUGUCGCAUGUUACAUGUGUCAUGCGAGACUGCCAAGGUAAAACUGGAGGAAGGUGGGG
rnacentral:rRNA from 1 species